rnacentral:hammerhead_ribozyme from 1 species
AUCCAGCUGACGAGUCCCAAACAGGACGAAACGAAGAU